AUGGCAUCAGCCGUCGGUGAGGAAGGGUGGCUGGAAGCCAGGCCUUGUGACCUGCCCCGUCCCCUGUGGCAGGACCAGUGAGGCUCACUGGGUACAAAUAGCCCUGGGCUCCCCAGGCUGCUCAGUCCAGCUCCUCAGCGCUCACUGUUUGCUCAGCUGAACGCUCAGCCGCAGGAACCAUGAAGCUGGCCCUGUCUCUGCUGCUGGUCACUCUGGCCCUUUGCUGCUCUGACGCAAAUGCAGAAGUCUGUCCAGUUAUUGAAAAAGGAGCGAGUAGGUUCAUCAUGAAGAGGAAUCUAGGCUUCAAAGAGACCCUUCUGAUGUUGAGCGCACCUAGAUCCUUCUACCAGGCUGUGUUGGAUGUGAAGCAUUGCACAAAUAGUAUCUCCUAUUCUGGCAGAAAAAA